rnacentral:rRNA from 1 species
AUCAGUUUUUUCUUGAAUUACACAUGCAAGUCUCAGCACACCCGUGAGGACACCCUUAAACCCUUAACCAGACUAAGGAGCCGGCAUCAGGCGCAACAUCUGCCCACAACGCCUAGUCCCACCACGCCCCCAAGGGCAUUCAGCAGUGAUAAAUAUUGCUAAUAAGCGACAGCUUGACCCAGUUAAAGAAGAUAGAGCCGGCCAACUCGGUGCCAGCCGCCGCGGCUAAACCGCACGGGCUCAAACUGAUAGUUAUCGGCGUUAAGCGUGAUUAAAGUCCCCCUGCAAUUAGAGUAGAACCUAUACUUAGCUGUGAAAAGCUUGAACUAGGGAAAAUCAUAAACGAAAGUUACUCUAAUAAAUCACUUGAAUACACGACAGCUAGGAAACAAACUGGGAUCAGAUACCCCACUAUGCCUAUCCGUAAAAUAUUAAUUCACACCCACCAACGCCAGGGUAUUACAAGCCUUAGCUUAAAACCCAAAGGACUUGACGGUGUCCCAUCCACCUAGAGGAGCCUGUUCCAUAAUCGAUAAUCCCCGCUAUACCUAACCACCCCUUGCCAAUCAGUCUGUAUACCUCCGUCGUAAGCUUACCAUAUGAAUGCCUACAGUAAGUUUAAUGGCCACAAGCACCAAUACGUCAGGUCAAGGUGCAGCUUAUGAGAUGGUGAACAAUGGGCUACAGUUUCUAUACUAGAACAAACGAAACGCUGCAUGAAACACAGCCACGAAGGCGGA